rnacentral:rRNA from 1 species
GACGAACGCUGGCGGCGUGCUUAACACAUGCAAGUCGAGCGAUGAAGUUUUUUCGGAAAUGGAUUAGCGGCGAACGGGUGAGGAACACGUGAAGAAUCUGCCCUCCACUUUGGGAUAACACAGGGAAACCUGUGCUAAUACCGAAUAUUGAAACAUAAGUGGCAUCACUGAGUUUUGAAAGAAUUUCGGUGGAGGAUGACUUCGCGGCCUAUCAGCUAGUUGGUGAGGUAAUGGCUCACCAAGGCACCGACGGGUAGCCGGACUGAGAGGGCGCCCGGCCACACUGGGACGGGGACACGACCCAGACUCCUACGGGAGGCAGCAGUGGGGAAUUUUGGACAAUGGGCGCAAGCCUGAUCCAGCAAUGCCGCGUGCAGGAAGAAGGCCUUCGGGUUGUAAACUGCUUUUGUCAGGGAAGAAAUCCUCUGGGUUAAUACCUCGGGGGGAUGACGGUACCUGAAGAAUAAGCACCGGCUAAC